rnacentral:rRNA from 1 species
GAUGAACGCUGGCGGCGUGCCUAAUACAUGCAAGUCGAGCGAACAGACGAGGAGCUUGCUCCUCUGACGUUAGCGGCGGACGGGUGAGUAACACGUGGAUAACCUACCUAUAAGACUGGGAUAACUUCGGGAAACCGGAGCUAACACCGGAUAAUAUAUUGAACCGCAUGGUUCAAUAGUGAGAGACGGUUUUGCUGUCACUUAUAGAUGGAUACGGGCCGCAUUAGCUAGUUGGUAAGGUAAAGGCUUUCGAAGGGGACGAUGCGUAGCCGACCUGAGAGGGUGAUCGGCCACACUGGAACUGAGACACGGUCCAGACUCCUACGGGAGGCCGCAGUAUGGAAUCUUCCGCAAAGGGCGAAAGCCUUACGGAGCAACGCCGCGUGAGUUAUGAAGGUCUUCGGAUCGUAAAACUCUGUUAUUAGGUAAGAACAAAUGUGUAAGUAACUAUACACUUCUUGACGGUACCUAAUCAGAAAGCCACGGCUAACUACGUG